GGCAGUAUAGUCUAGUGGUUAUGCUGCAAGGCGUUGUUUAGGUAAGCGGUUGACGUGUGGGUUCGAAUCCCGCUGGUGGUG